GUAUUAUCCAAAAGUUACAAAUAGACCAUGCAAAUGUCAGAUAUUCUGGAAAAUGUUUUAGAAGGGAGAGUUUUCUUCUCUCUGCUAAAUUUUCACUGUGAGAUCUAUUCACUAAAUAGUGACUUACGAUAAUUGCAAAACUGGAGUGAAAAUUUCAGGCCAAGAAAAUAAAUAUUAAUCUUGGGCUGGAUUAGAACAUUUAGACUUGUUUAAAACUGGCAAUUUAGUGCAAAAUAAUGCUCUGUGCUUUUUAUUAUAGAUAUUGCUAUAGCAUUGGAACAAUAGCAGUGGCCAUUUUCUUGCUCACCAGUGAGCGAAUCCUAUCAAACUCUACAAAGCACAGAUCAGUCCCAAUUAAUAUUCAGUAAUGCAAACCAUGUCGCUUGUUGGGCUACAAACUUUGCUGUAAAUAUUAAC